CAGCAGUAGCCGCGGUAAUACGGAGGGCGCGAGCGUUACCCGGAUUUACUGGGCGUAAAGGGCGUGUAGGCGGCCUGGGGCGUCCCAUGUGAAAGGCCACGGCUCAACCGUGGAGGAGCGUGGGAUACGCUCAGGCUAGAGGGUGGGAGAGGGUGGUGGAAUUCCCGGAGUAGCGGUGAAAUGCGCAGAUACCGGGAGGAACGCCGAUGGCGAAGGCAGCCACCUGGUCCACUUCUGACGCUGAGGCGCGAAAGCGUGGGGAGCAAACCGGAUUAGAUACCCGGGUAGUCCCUGUCUCUUAUAU
rnacentral:rRNA from 1 species